AGCGAGCCCACAUGCAAGAAUUAAGACAGUGGCAAGAUCUUUCCCAACUUCUACAGCAACGGUGGCUCUUUGGGUCUCAUAACAGGUAAAUCCCUUUCUCCUGGGAAACCUUGUAUGGCCAGUGACGGCCAAGUUCAAACCAUGGGAAUGAACUAUCUUGAUUCCUCACGUCCAGCACCCCUUGCUCAUCAAGUUCUCCACCAGCUGCUCUGUCCCCACUUUCCCUGCAUGAGGUCAGGCGUUCACUAUCCAUUACUUAAUCAUUACAGUAACAGUCUACCUAGGCUUCCUCCCUUUAGUCUAAAUUUCCCCCGUCAAUUUUUUUUUUUUUUCUAAAAUACAGAUCUGAUCGUGUCUGUCCUAGCUCAGAAUCCUUCAGCAGCACCUUCCAAGCUAUAGAACUGAACCUCAAUAGCAUGCAAGUUCACAUUCUGGCCUCUACUUAUCUGUCCAGGGCCAAAGAGAUUGGGAAGAUGCCUCCAGAAGACGAAUAACUCGGCAUCCCCUUGAAACUGCUAUUCUACUCGGGGAGAUUCAUUGAUUCAUACCAGUAAGAAUGCCAGCUGAAAAUAACAUGCACCUGGGACUUCCCUGGCGGUCCAGUGGUUAAGACUCCACACUUCCACUGCAGAGGGCAUGGGUUCAAUCCCUGCUUGGGGGGCUAAGGAUCCCACGUGCUGCGUGGCAGUGGCCAAAAAAAACCCAAAAAAACAUGCACCAAACGUCUGCUAAAUAAAUCAGUGUAUGUGAGACUUAUUUGCUCCUUUUCAGAUGUGAAAUCUUGAAGCCAGGCUGGGAAGUAUUCAGAGCUAGCUGGGGUUGGGGCAGGGGCUCUGACUGGCUUUGCCCAGAUCGCCAGAAUUGCCUUAAGAAUCCUGAGCGCUUUCCUACCAGAGCUGUGCAGACAGACCUAAAACCAACUAGCAAUUCGAUCCUCAGAUGGAGGCUCUGAGAGAAGACCUUUACGAUCCCUUCCAGCCCCUGGCUGUUAAGAAAACUGGUGCAGAUCUGCGAUUGCUAGAGAUAAUUGGUUUUGUUUUGUUUCAGGAAGUGACUUGGCUGAUGUGGGAAGAAAGAACUGUUCAUGAUCCUUUGUAUUCCGUUGACCUGGGCUGGGCCCCAACUGGAAGGGAAAGGCAGUGGGAUGAGGGCGGAAAGGAGCGCCUCGCCCCUUCCCCGUCCUGUGCCUCGUGCUGACUCCACAGUCCUAUCAGAGAUCAAGGCCUGCAGUAAACAGCCAAAUAAAGCCCUGGAGUCAACGCAGCAGGGCCUGCUACCGAGCACUAAGCUGGCCGCCGCCUCCCGAGGGGAAGAAGAAAGGCUGAGCAGACCUGGAGCCUGUGCACAUCGGAUCAGGGGCCACGACCUCUCUGCGGGCUCCAUGAAGCUCCCGGAAGGGCUUUUCCUUGGUCCCACUCCACCCCUUUCCCUGUUGUCCCUCUGCUCGGACCCCAGGCCCAGGAACUCCAGGACAGCAGCUCCCCUCACAAGCUUCAGGUGUCCUGGCAGCAACACAGAAGCAUCCUAAUUCUGACAUGAAACUGAGAAGGACCAGUGCUCACUGUUCUGUACUUGUGUCCUCUGCAGUUGGGACAACUUUCUCUGGGUUCAUUUAGUCAGUUGGUGUGAGCACGAAAGGGCUGAGCCUAGACUCUGAGCCCUGGCUGGAGAUGAAGUCCCCUUUGUAAGGCAGAAAAGCAGGGGAGGCCAAUAGAAGAAGGGACAGCUCACCCUGGGCCUGAGGUCACACUUGCCAAUGUUUAACUUCCUUUAAAUCAACCAGCAAGCCCGCCCCCUCUCGUUCAUUAGUAACCUGUUAAUCUGCCACAAACUUCAUCAACUCCAUCUAAUGUGUAUUUUUUGAGCACCUACUAUGUGCCAGGUACUUUAGGUGAUGGGAAAACAGCCACAAACAUAACAAAGAUCCCUGCCUUCAUGGAGUUUCGAUCCAGUUAGAGAGAGACAAUAAGACAGAUGAGGAAAAUAUGUACUAGUACAUCAGAUGAUAAGAAAUUCCUAAAGAAAAACAGCUAAAGCAGGGAAGAGGAUUGCAGAGUGCCAGGAAGAGGGGGGAAACGUUUGACAGGGUAGCCAGGAAAGGCCUUUGUUACGGGUUGAAUCAGGUCCCCUCGAAGCUCACGGGUUAAGGUCCUAACCCCCAGGAUCUCAGAGUGUGCCUUUAUUUGGGGACAGGGUCUUUACAGAGGUCAUCAAGUUAAAAUGAAGUCCUUUGGGUGUGAGCCAUCAGGUUGGACCGGUGUCCUUAUAAGAAUGUUGAAUUUGGAGAUGCACGCAGGGAGAACGCCAUCUCCAAGGCAAGGGAGAGGCCUGGAACAGACCCUUCCCUCGGAGCCCUCCGAAGGAACCAGCCCUGCCAACACCUUGCAGCCUCCAGGACCGCGAGACAACACACUUCUGUUGUUUCAGGCGCCCAGUUUGUGGGACUGUGUCAUAGCUACACCAGGACACUAACACAGCCUUGCUGAGAAGACCUGAAAGGAGGGCGAGCCGCAGCGAGGUCGUGUUGGCCCCUCCCAGUGUUGUGGUGUUUGCCUGUCCGUGGAGCUGGUAGUGAUUCCAGCACAUUCCUGAAUGCUUAUUGCAGGGUAAAUCCAAGUCCCCUGUCCCAGAGCAGGUUCCAGGUAAGCCAGGCCUGAGGUCUGCGCCAGCAGCAGUCAGUCCAGGGGCCCCGGGCCACCAUUGUCACAUUCUUCCUCGAGGCCCUGAACACUGUCCACAGUUGAGCGGAGACCAGGGGAGGCAUUAGCUGAGCCCUGCUCAGCAACGACACUGUCGCUGAUAGGGGAACUGAGAAUCCUUGUCCUCUGCUCAGCCUUCACCCCCGCAUCAUCACCCCAACAAUCCUGCCAGGGCUAAACUUUGACCACUCCCAGAUGCCACGAGGGCUAAGCACUUCCCUCACUCUCUCAGCCCUGCUUCCCCAGCCGUAUAUAAGCAGCUGGAACAUGACCAGGUGUGGCUUCAGCGGGCAGCCUGCCACCCCAGUUUGGGGUCGGGGGGGACAGAAAGCAAAGACAAAGCUUCAUUUCCUUCCCUCCCCUUCUUUCCCAGGAGAGAGCCUUAAGGGCACACCCAGAAGGAACAGAAGGGCAAGUCCCCUCCGUCACUCGCAUUGGCCCCAGUGGUCGCCACUGGGCUCCUUUUAUUUUUUGGCACAGGCAGGGUUGGGACCACAACUUCUCUGGAAAGGACAGGGUCAAGAGGCUGGGAUCAGCCAGCGGCCCUAGAGGAACCCGUGUUUUCCAUUGUGCAUUGAAAUUCCCGUUUGCCCGGGGCCGAGCUUCCCCACAGAAUCAAAGAGGUCAAUAAAGGCCAGGGACAAAGCACAAACACAGCCUGGAAGCCAAAAGACGCCCAUAAGCGUGGAGAUAAAUGGGCAUUUCAGAGUGGUGCAGGAGGUGGGUGUGGGGCAUUGCCCCUUCUCUGGCUGGCAGAGCCUGGCCACUGGUUCUCCAAAUAGCCCUUCCACUUUGGAGAUGCCAGGUUGUUGUGGACCCAAGGCUUGACUCGUUCUGGGUCACAGUGGGGAGGAUUGACAAGAACAAAGGCUCCCUCUGGACGACAAAUACAGCACUUCCUGUAUUUCAUGCUCUGGUACUCAGCCCUCCCAACGUGGAGGCACUCUUUUUGUUUGUUUGUUUGUUUUUAACUUUAUUUUAUUGAAGUAUAGCUGAUUUACAACGUUGUGUUAAUUUCUGCUUUACAGCAAAGUGAUUCAGUUAUACAUAUAUAUAUUCUUUUUCAUAUUCUUUUCCAUUAGGGUUUAUCACAAGAUAUUGAAUAUAGGUCCCUGCGCUAUACAGUAGGACCUUGUUGUUUAUCCAUUCUAUAUGUAAUAGUUUGCAUCUGCUAAUCCCAAACUCCCAAUCCAUGCCUCCCCCACUGCCCCUCCCCCAUGGCAACCACAAGUCUGUUCUCUGUAUCUGUGAGUCCGUUUCUGUUUCGUAGAUAAGUUCAUUUGGAGGCACUCUUUUUUGACAGGGUUAUGUUUCUUUUCUUUUAAGAAAAGUUCCCACUCUUAGGGGUUUUUUAAAUGAUGCAAAUUCUGGCAAUUCAGAGCUGCUUAGCGUCUUCAGUUAGAUGUUAAAAAAUAAGCCCAGUUUUCUCCCACUAUUUCCUCUGCCCUUUGGUUUAUUUCAUUCAAUGUUCCAGUAGAAAGAUCCCUGGAGUGUGAGUCAGGAAACCUGAGUUCUGCUCCCUGCCCCGCAUUCUUCCAGGAGCUGUGACCUUGGGCAAGUCAUUUAUGCUCUCUGAGCCCAAUUCUCUUACAUUCUGAGAUGACGUAGAAUCAUAGGGAGAAGACACAGCUUGGUUAGUUCACUAUGUCACCAGGUAACAGCUGUUUUGAUUCUCUGUUGGAGAGUUCACUCAAUCAUUCAUUCACUCAUCCGUCAACUAGUUAAUAUAUGCAGGAAUCAUGACAGGCAUGAAGACGCAAAGUUGAAUAAGACGCGGUUCCUGCCCAUGAAGAGGCAACAUGCUAGGGUGGAAAGAGUGCUGACUUUCUGAGGGACACAGCCAGGUCCCAGUGCUAAUUAGUUUUGUGAGCUUAGCUAAGUUUUGAUAACUUUUCUGAGCCUUCGUUUUCUCCCUGGUAUAAUGGGAUUAUUGUAUAGGGUGACCAACCAUCCCGGUUUGCCCUGAGACAGGAGUUUCCUAGGACACAGGACUUUCAGAGCUAAAACCUAGAAAGUUCCAGGCAAACUGGGAUAAGCUGGUCACCUACAUGAGAGAUGAAUUGAAAUGACACCUAGGUGGGGCCUAGCCCAGUGCCCAGCAUCUAAUAGCUGCUUUAUCAACACAACCCUUUUGUGGAUACACACGCACACAGCCAGACACCCACCCACAUAACUCAUCACAAGAUAAAGAAAGGAAAAAGAAAAAAUGUAAACAAAUAAAUAGGCUCUCGCUAAGGCGGCACAAGGGAGAGCAGGGCUGCUGAGAGGAGCCAGGAGAGGCGGCGGCAGAGGGCAGGAGCCAGGGGCUGGCUGCUGAGGGGGGAGGUGGACUUGGUCCGAUGAGGAUGCUGACUAGGGAGGUUCAGCCUAUGCUUGAAAUAUUUGUAAAUGCAGGAAAGCUUAAGAGCUUUGAGCGCUUAAGGGGUGUUCUGUGUGGCUAGAGCAAACAGAGAAGAUCCUAAAGGUUGGUCUGAUUCAUCUAGAAAAGGCCCUGUGUGCGAUUCGAAAAGGCUUGGACAUCAUUUUGAAAGUUUCCAAACACUUUCAAUGAUGCAUCUUUCUGGUGGAAAAAAAGGUUGAAAACCGACACCUUUCCCAAUACAUGUAUACCUAUGUAUAAGUAAUGCGCAUGUGUUGUGUAAAUAAAUAAAGCAUACAAAAAACCAGAAAUGUUUAAAGAAGCAGAUAAAAGGUAAAUAUAAGUAGAAGUUCUGUUUUCAUUCUAUGCUCCAACAAGUUGUCUUGUCUGCUUCCUCUAGUACACAUACCCCGUUUGAGAGACCACUACUGUAGGCGGUGGAGAGUCAUGGCAGGUUUUAGAUGAGAGCAAAAAACCUGACAUGAUCAGAUUUGAUUUUUGAGAAAUGACCCUGGCUGCUUAGAGAAGGGCCUGGAGGCAGAGAGGCCAGUAGGAAGCUGUUGUCAAAGUCCAAGAGAAGGUUCCAGUGCCCCAGACUAAGGUGGCAGCAUAGGUGUGCAGGGAAGGUGACAGAUUGGGGAGGGAUUUAGGAGGUGAAAUCAAGAGGACAUGUGACUGAGAACAAAUCUGUUGAGUUAAAUAAGUUUAGGAAUGCAUGCAUCUUGAAAUACGUCCACAAGGAGAGGUGUGCCCUGGAACUACAUUCAAUUCCGGUGACUGUUUUCUUUUUUUUGUGUUUUUUUUUUUUGCGGUACGCGGGCCUCUCACUGCUGUGGCCUCUCCCAUUGCAGAGCACAGGCUCCGGACGCGCAGGCUCAGCAGCCGUGGCUCACGGGCCCAGCCGCUCCCCGGCAUGCGGGAUCCUCCCGGACCAGGGCACUAACCCGUGGCCCCGGCAUCAGCAGGUGGACUCUCAACCACUGCACCACCAGGGAAGCCUUCAGUGAUAUUUUUGAUCAAUACUCCAGACGUGAUGCAGGGAAACAGGGCCAUACUAUGACUUUUGUGGGCCCUAGACACUUUGUCUUCAUGAGCCCCUUCCUGCAUUAGAAAUAAUAAUAUAUAUGUGUAUAUAUAUGUAUUUAUGUAUAUGAAAGUAUAUUUAACAAUUGCACUGUAUAAAGUUGAAUAGAAUCAGGGAGUAUUCUAUUCCUUGUUUUCUCAUGAUUUUAGAAGAAAUUAAAAUACUUCCAUGGGUUUCUAAAGGUAUCGUGGGCCUUAGGCCCUGUGCCUGUGGUGCCCAAAGGAUAAGCCAGUACUGGAAGCCCGCCAGACUCUGGAGAUGCUGAAUUCGGGCAGAUUCAGUAUGAGCAUGGAGCGCCAUCUAGUGGUCCGCAUGCUUGCAAGGCAGCCGAGCCUCUUCUGCCCUACGGAAAUAAAUUAAUCUGUAAAACUUUCUCUCAGCGUCCCAGAUCAGACCCAAUCCCUCUUGAGUAAGCAUCUCCAAACUGCCCUGGAUGCUGGGUUUUGAGGCUGUCUGAUUGGCAGGCAGCCAAAGCAAGACCUCAACAUCACGAUGACAGCCCAGCAGUGCCCCCAAAUCACCUAAGAGCCAACCGUUUAAUCUUUUCAUCUAACAGGUCAUUUAAUGCAGCAGUAGUGUUCAAUAUUUUUGUGCCUGAGGCACUACAGUGAAUGGGGGUAUAAGCGGACACCAGUUUAGGAGGGAAAGUUUUAAAAUACUUCUAAAAAAUCAGUUUUGCCAUAUUCUCUCAGUAUUUGUUGCUUUCUUCUCCACUGGGAUUCCUUCUGUAUCUACAAGGCAGAGUUAUCCAGCAUUUGGUAAGUGACCAGUCUUUCUUUGUAGCCAAUUUGAGAUAACUUCAUACAGACCAUCACCUGUUCUUUUCUGCAACUUGAGAUUCACUCAACUGAGCACUUCAUCUGCCAUGUCACCAGAGUGGGUACAUCUUCAGGGAAAGGCAGAGAAAGGCAUCAGAGGAGGCUCAGUUGUGCACCCCGUUGUACAGAAUGUGGUAGCACACUGUCCAGCAACCACUGGGGUAAUGUCAUCUGCUUCCUAAAGCUAGGAUUCGGGAGAUUUUCUUCUCAAAGACAUGAAGUUGUAAAUUGAUAAUUGCUACCAUACACAUUUUAUGGGUUGGACUGUUACCUCCACAAAUGCGUAUGUUGAAGUCCUAACCGUCAGUACCUCAGAAUGUGAUCUUAUUUGGAAAUAGGGUCAUUGAAGAUGUAAUUCAUUAAGGCGAGGUCAUAUUGUAGCAGGAUGGGGCCCCUAACUCAAUAUGACUUACACCCUUAUAAGAAGGGGAAAUUGGGACAAGUCUCAUCUCAUUUUUUAUGCACCUCGAUUCAUAGAGGGAAGAUGGUGUGAAGACAUGGGGAGAAAACAGCCAUUUACAAGCCAAGGAGAGAGGCCUGGAAUAGAUUCUUCACUCACAGACCUCAAAAUUACAUAUAUUAUUUAAAAAAAAUAAAACAUACAGCUAGGAUUGAGAACUAUUGGCAUAGAAGAUUCUUUUAUUUCUCUUCAUCUACCUGGUCUGUAUCCAUCCUUUACAUUUCUUCUUAGAUUUCACUUUCUCUGGCAAUCUAUAUCUGAUCUGAUCCCUCUCUCUUUGCUCCCUCCCUCUCUGUCCACUUGGACCAUGUGCCCAUCUUUUGUAUUUCCGUUGCAACUUCAGCAAGCUCUUACAGUACUUUGACAGUUGCGUUGGUCUAUGUGUAUAUUAACGUGGUAUAUCACAUUUACUGUUUUGCAGAUGUUGAAGCAUCGUUGCAUCCCAGGGAUAGAUCCCACUUGAUCCGGGUAUAUGAUCCUUUUAAUGUGCUUUUGAAUUAGGUUUGCUAAUAUGCUAGUGAAAUUUUUGCAUCUAUAUUCAUCAGGCAUAUUGGCCUGUAGUUUUCUUAACUUAUAGUGUCCUUGUCUGGCCAGAGUAAUACUGGCCUCAUAAAACGAACCUGGGAGUGUUCGCUCUUUUUCAGUCUUUUGGAAGGGUCCGAGAAGGACUGGUGUUAAUUCUUCUUUAAACAUUUGGUAGAAUUCACUCGUGAAAUCAUCUCAGCCUGGACUUUUCUUUGUUGGGAGGUUUUUGAUUACUGAUUCAAUUACUCAUUAUUGGUCUGUUCAUAUUUUCUAUCCCUUCGUAAUUCAGUCUUGGUAGGUUGUAAAUUUCUAGGAAUUGACCCAUUUCUUCUAGGUUAUCUAAUUUGCUGGCAUGUAAUUAUUCGUCAUUAUCUCUUAUGAUCCUUUGUAUUUCUGUGGCAAGUUAGUGGUAAUAUCUCCUCUUUUGUUUCAGAUUUUAUUUAUUUGAGUCUCCUCUUUUUUUUUUUUUAGUUAGUCUAGCUAAGAAUUUGUCCGUGUGUGCGUGCAGCUCCUGACUUAGAGCUCUAGAUGAAAUGAGCCUCUCUGGCAGCGUCCACACAGCUGGGGGAUCCAGGCGCUCAGUCACACACUCACAUUCUCCCACAGGAGAAAUCACAGGCGGAGAAAGGCUCUCUGGCCCCUGAGCUCAGCUACCCGGGGGAGGCAUGUUGUAGGUCAAGUCAGCUGUUCCUCUUACCGUCUUUGAUGUGCCCAGUCUCGGAAUUUUUGUUUUUCCUCCAGUGAUGCGCUGGAACUUCCCUGCUGGACUCCUGGACUUCCACAAAGUCUCUCUGAUACGUGAAUGAUUGUCAGAAUCGUAUUCUUUGGGGGGAAUAGUAGAAAACUUCUAUUCCGCCAUUUUGAUGAUGUCACUCCCCGACAAAUACCUUUAAAAACAUAAACUAACAAAGCUUACUCACGAAGACGUAGAUAAGGGACUUCCGUGGCGGUCCAGCGGUUGAGACUUCGCCUUCCGAUAAAAGGGGUGAGGGUUCGAUCCUUUGUCGGGGAGCAAGGUCCAACAUGCCUCACAGCCAAAAAACCAAAACAUAAAACGGAAGCAAUAUUGUAACAAACUCAGUAAAGACUUAAAAAAAAAAAAGAAAUAGAUAA